rnacentral:rRNA from 1 species
UUCGAGUUGAUGAAUAACUCCAACCCCAUGUGAAAUACCUCUUGUUGCUUCGGCGGACCCGCCCCGGCGUCCGGAAGGCCCCACACGGCCCUCCGCGGCCCGGGCCCAGGCGGCCGCCGGAGACCAAACCAAAACUAUUGUAUCAUCAGUUUCUUCUGAAUCCGCCGCAAGGCAAAACAAAUGAAUCAAAACUUUCAACAACGGAUCUCUUGGUUCUGGCAUCGAUGAAGAACGCAGCGAAAUGCGAUAAGUAAUGUGAAUUGCAGAAUUCAGUGAAUCAUCGAAUCUUUGAACGCACAUUGCGCCCGCCAGCAUUCUGGCGGGCAUGCCUGUUCGAGCGUCAUUUCAACCCUCGAGCUCCCUUUGGGGAGCCCGGCGUUGGGGACCGGCAGCUUUACCGCCGGCCCCGAAAUGGAGUGGCGGCCCGUCCGCGGCGACCUCUGCGUAGUAACUUACACCUCGCACCGGAACCCCGACGUGGCCACGCCGUAAAACACCCAACCUUUGAACGUUGACCUCGGAUCAGGUAGGAAUACCCGCUGAACUUAAGCAUAUCAAUAAGACGGAGGAA